rnacentral:rRNA from 1 species
GACGAACGCUGGCGGCGUGCCUAAUACAUGCAAGUAGAACGCACAGUUUAUACAGUAGCUUGCUACACCAUAGACUGUGAGUUGCGAACGGGUGAGUAACGCGUAGGUAACCUGCCUGGGAGCGGGGGAUAACUAUUGGAAACGAUAGCUAAUACCGCAUAAUAUUAAUUAUUGCAGGAUAAUUAAUUGAAAGGUGCAAUUGCAGCACUACCAGAUGGACCUGCUGUGUAUUUGGUAGUAGGGGAGGUAACGGCUCACCUAGGCGACGGAACAUAGCCGACCUUGGAGGGUGCACGGCCCACACUGGAACUGGACCCCGCCCCGACUCCCUCCGGAGGGCGCAGUAGGGAAUCUUCGGCCAUGGGCGGAAGUCUGACCGCGCCCCGCCGCGUGGGGGAAGAAGGGUUUCGGAUCGUAAAGCUCUGUUGUACGAGAAGAAAGGGUGUGAGAGUGAAAAGUUCACACUGUGACGGUACCUUACCAGAAAGCGACGGCUAACUACGUG